AUGAAACCCAAAAGUAGGAUGCAUCCCUUCAGCAUUACCCCUAGAUAGGAUAAAUAAUUUCCUUGUUCCAGAUCUAUGAGGUAUGAUCUGAAAGAUAAACAAACAAGGAUUAGAAAAUAUUCCUGGACUGAGAUUUCAAACUUGAAAAUAGUAUACCAAGAAUCUGAAAAAUUCCUAAAUGCCUUGUAGCCUCUCCCUUAUGAGUGUGGCGCGCUACACACUCCUUAAAAAGA
rnacentral:lncRNA from 1 species